rnacentral:rRNA from 1 species
UUGACCUCGAAUCAGGUAGGGAUACCCGCUGAACUUAAGCAUAUCAAUAAGCGGAGGAAAAGAAACCAACCGGGAUUACCUCAGUAACGGCGAGUGAAGCGGUAACAGCUCAAAUUUGAAAUCUGGCUCCUGCGGAGUCCGAGUUGUAAUUUGUAGAAGAUGCUUUGGGAGGUAGGGCCGGCCUAAGUUCCUUGGAACAGGACAUCAGAGAGGGUGAGAAUCCCGUAUGCGGCCGUGGCCUACGCCCGUGUAAAGCUCUUUCGACGAGUCGAGUUGUUUGGGAAUGCAGCUCAAAAUGGGUGGUAAAUUUCAUCUAAAGCUAAAUAUUGGCCAGAGACCGAUAGCGCACAAGUAGAGUGAUCGAAAGAUGAAAAGCACUUUGGAAAGAGAGUUAAACAGUACGUGAAAUUGUUGAAAGGGAAGCGCUUGCACCCAGACUUGGGCGUCGUCGAUCAUCCGAGGUUCUCCUCGGUGCACUCGACGAUGCACAGGCCAGCAUCGGUUUGGGUGGUUGGAGAAAGGCUCUAGGAACGUAGCUCUCUUCGGGGAGUGUUAUAGCCUAGGGCGUAAUGCAGCCCAUCCGGACCGAGGACCGCGCCUUCGGGCUAGGAUGCUGGCGUAAUGGUUGCAAGCGACCCGUCUUGAAACACGGACCAAGGAGUCUAACAUCUAUGCGAGUGUUUGGGCGUUAAACCCAUACGCGGAAUGAAAGUGAACGCAGGUGAGAACCCGUUAGGGUGCAUCAUCGACCG